GGGCGCAAGCCUGAUGCAGCGACGCCGCGUGAGGGAUGACGGCCUUCGGGUUGUAAACCUCUUUCAGCACAGACGAAGCGCGAGUGACGGUAUGUGCAGAAGAAGGACCGGCCAACUACGUGCCAGCAGCCGCGGUAAUACGUAGGGUCCGAGCGUUGUCCGGAAUUACUGGGCGUAAAGAGCUCGUAGGUGGUUUGUCGCGUUGUUCGUGAAAACUCACAGCUUAACUGUGGGCGUGCGGGCGAUACGGGCAGACUGGAGUACUGCAGGGGAGACUGGAAUUCCUGGUGUAGCGGUGGAAUGCGCAGAUAUCAGGAGGAACACCGGUGGCGAAGGCGGGUCUCUGGGCAGUAACUGACGCUGAGGAGCGAAAGCGUGGGGAGCGAACAGGAUUAGAUACCCUGGUAGUCCACGCCGUAAACGGUGGGUACUAGGUGUGGGUUUCCUUCCUUGGGAUCCGUGCCGUAGCUAACGCAUUAAGUACCCCGCCUGG
rnacentral:rRNA from 1 species